GCUUCCGUAGUGUAGUGGUAAUCACGUCCGCCUCACACGCGGAAGGUCGCAGGUUCGAUCCCUGCCGGAAACA
rnacentral:tRNA from 1 species